rnacentral:rRNA from 1 species
AGUGAACGCUGGCGGUAGGCCUAACACAUGCAAGUCGAACGGCAGCACAGUAAGAGCUUGCUCUUACGGGUGGCGAGUGGCGGACGGGUGAGGAAUACAUCGGAAUCUACUUUUUCGUGGGGGAUAACGUAGGGAAACUUACGCUAAUACCGCAUACGACCUACGGGUGAAAGCAGGGGAUCCUCGGACCUUGCGCGAUUGAAUGAGCCGAUGUCGGAUUAGCUAGUUGGCGGGGUAAAGGCCCACCAAGGCGACGAUCCGUAGCUGGUCUGAGAGGAUGAUCAGCCACACUGGAACUGAGACACGGUCCAGACUCCUACGGGAGGCAGCAGUGGGGAAUAUUGGACAAUGGGCGCAAGCCUGAUCCAGCCAUACCGCGUGGGUGAAGAAGGCCUUCGGGUUGUAAAGCCCUUUUGCUGGGAAAGAAAAGCAGCAGGUUAAUACCCCGCUGUUCUGACGGUACCCAAAGAAUAAGCACCGGCUAACUUCGUG